rnacentral:rRNA from 1 species
GUGGGGAAUUUUGGACAAUGGGCACAAGCCUGAUCCAGCAAUGCCGCGUGCAGGAAGAAGGCCUUCGGGUUGUAAACUGCUUUUGUACGGAACGAAACGGUCCUGGUUAAUACCCGGGGCUAAUGACGGUACCGUAAGAAUAAGCACCGGCUAACUACGUGCCAGCAGCCGCGGUAAUACGUAGGGUGCAAGCGUUAAUCGGAAUUACUGGGCGUAAAGCGUGCGCAGGCGGUGCUGUAAGACAGGCGUGAAAUCCCCGGGCUUAACCUGGGAAUUGCGCUUGUGACUGCAGUGCUGGAGUGCGGCAGAGGGGGAUGGAAGUCCGCGUGUAGCAGUGAAAUGCGUAGAUAUGCGGAGGAACACCGAUGGCGAAGGCAAUCCCCUGGGCCUGCACUGACGCUCAUGCACGAAAGCGUGGGGAGCAAACAGGAUUAGAAACCCCGGUAGUCC